UGGGGNANUNUNNNNNAAUGGGCGCAAGCCUGAUCCAGCCAUGCCGCGUGUCUGAAGAAGGCCUUCGGGUUGUAAAGGACUUUUGUCAGGGAAGAAAAGGCUGUUGCUAAUAUCGACAGCUGAUGACGGUACCUGAAGAAUAAGCACCGGCUAACUACGUGCCAGCAGCCGCGGUAAUACGUAGGGUGCGAGCGUUAAUCGGAAUUACUGGGCGUAAAGCGAGCGCAGACGGUUACUUAAGCAGGAUGUGAAAUCCCCGGGCUCAACCUGGGAACUGCGUUCUGAACUGGGUGACUAGAGUGUGUCAGAGGGAGGUAGAAUUCCACGUGUAGCAGNGAAAUGCGUAGAGAUGUGGAGGAAUACCGAUGGCGAAGGCAGCCUCCUGGGAUAACACUGACGUUCAUGCUCGAAAGCGUGGGUAGCAAACAGGAUUAGAUACCCUGGUAGUCCACGCCCUAAACGAUGUCAAUUAGCUGUUGGGCAACUUGAUUGCUUANNNNCGUAGCUAACGCGUGAAAUUGACCGCCUGGGGAGUACGGUCGCAAGAUUA
rnacentral:rRNA from 1 species